AGACCCGAAACCCGGUGAUCUAGCCAUGGGCAGGUUGAAGGUUGGGUAACACUAACUGGAGGACCGAACCGACUAAUGUUGAAAAAUUAGCGGAUGACCUGUGGCUGGGGGUGAAAGGCCAAUCAAACCGGGAGAUAGCUGGUUCUCCCCGAAAGCUAUUUAGGUAGCGCCUCGUGAAUUCAUCUCCGGGGGUAGAGCACUGUUUCGGCUAGGGGGCCAUCCCGGCUUACCAACCCGAUGCAAACUGCGAAUACCGGAGAAUGUUAUCACGGGAGACACACGGCGGGUGCUAACGUCCGUCGUGAAGAGGGAAACAACCCAGACCGCCAGCUAAGGUCCCAAAGUCAUGGUUAAGUGGGAAACGAUGUGGGAAGGCCCAGACAGCCAGGAUGUUGGCUUAGAAGCAGCCAUCAUUUAAAGAAAGCGUAAUAGCUCACUGGUCGAGUCGGCCUGCGCGGAAGAUGUAACGGGGCUAAACCAUGCACCGAAGCUGCGGCAGCGAACGUAUCACCCAAGACAACUUUACGGAGUUGACGAUUGACGGAGCGAAGCGACGUCAAAGCGUUCAUUAAAGUCGAGUUGGCUUAGGGAUACGUUCGUUGGGUAGGGGAGCGUUCUGUAAGCCUGUGAAGGUGGCCUGUGAGGGUUGCUGGAGGUAUCAGAAGUGCGAAUGCUGACAUAAGUAACGAUAAAGCGGGUGAAAAGCCCG
rnacentral:rRNA from 1 species